AUUGAACGCUGGCGGCAUGCCUUACACAUGCAAGUCGAACGGUAGAGGGGCAACCCUCGAGAGUGGCGAACGGGUGAGUAAUGCAUCGGAACGUGCCCAGUAGUGGGGGAUAGCCCGGCGAAAGCCGGAUUAAUACCGCAUACGACCUCAGGGUGAAAGCGGGGGACUCGCAAGAGCCUCGCGCUAUUGGAGCGGCCGAUGUCAGAUUAGGUAGUUGGUGGGGUAAAGGCCCACCAAGCCGACGAUCUGUAGCUGGUCUGAGAGGACGACCAGCCACACUGGGACUGAGACACGGCCCAGACUCCUACGGGAGGCAGCAGUGGGGAAUUUUGGACAAUGGGCGAAAGCCUGAUCCAGCCAUGCUGCGUGCGGGAAGAUGGCCUUCGGGUUGUAAACCGCUUUUGUCAGGGAAGAAAUCUUCUGGGUUAAUACCUCGGGAGGAUGACGGUACCUGAAGAAUAAGCACCGGCUAACUACGUGCCAGCAGCCGCAGUAA
rnacentral:rRNA from 1 species